UCCCUGAUGGUCUAGUGGUUCAGACUCUGCACUUUCACUGCAGGGGAAUGGGUUUGAUCCCUGGUCUGGGAA
rnacentral:tRNA from 1 species